rnacentral:rRNA from 1 species
UACGUAGGGUGCGAGCGUUAAUCGGAAUUACUGGGCGUAAAGCGUGCGCAGGCGGUUCGUUAUGUCCGAUGUGAAAGCCCCGAGCUUAACUUGGGAAUGGCAUUGGAAACUGGCGGGCUGGAGUGCGGCAGAGGGGGUGGAAUUCCACGUGUAGCAGUGAAAUGCGUAGAGAUGUGGAGGAACACCGAUGGCGAAGGCAGCCCCUGGGCCGACACUGACGCUCAGGCACGAAAGCGUGGGGAGCAAACAGG